rnacentral:rRNA from 1 species
GAUGAACGCUGGCGGCGUGCCUAAUACAUGCGAGUCGAGCGAACAGACGAGGAGCUUGCUCCUCUGACGUUAGCGGCGGACGGGUGAGUAACACGUGGAUAACCUACCUAUAAGACUGGGAUAACUUCGGGAAACCGGAGCUAAUACCGGAUAAUAUAUUGAACCGCAUGGUUCAAUAGUGAAAGACGGUUUUGCUGUCACUUAUAGAUGGAUCCGCGCCGCAUUAGCUAGUUGGUAAGGUAACGGCUUACCAAGGCGACGAUGCGUAGCAGACCUGAGAGGGUGAUCGGCCACACUGGAACUGAGACACGGUCCAGACUCCUACGGGAGGCAGCAGUAGGGAAUCUUCCGCAAUGGGCGAAAGCCUGACGGAGCAACGCCGCGUGAGUGAUGAAGGUCUUCGGAUCGUAAAACUCUGUUAUUAGGGAAGAACAAAUGUGUAAGUAACUAUGCACGUCUUGACGGUACCUAAUCAGAAAGCCACGGCUAACUACGUG